CAGAGCUUGUUUACAGGGUGUUAGAAUUAAAAUCGAUCAGCCGGAAAUAAAAAUCCGUAAUUUUCGCUCAAAAUUAUUUUGAUCCGAAUAUUCUAUUGAUAUGCUUUAAUUCCUACCAUAAAUCAAUCACGAAAAACAUCAAUAUUCUUAAUUAAUCGCAAAGCAGUAUUUCCGGAAGCUCCUCCAGAGACUAAGUCCAUGUAAACAAGCUCUGUGAACUGUCAACCUACGUCAUCUUGCACUGGUCUAUUAGUCGCGGUUGACAGAAAAAAAAAUUGUUUUCUGUUUUGCUGGUCGCUGAUGGUUGCAAAAUGAAUUUGACUUUAUUUGAUUACUGUUCCCGCCAUCGUUAUAAUCGGAAGAUAUGUCGUCUCGACGGAGCUUAUUCCCGGCUCGUUUGCUUCGCUACAAAGUCAAGGUAUUCCGGCGGCGACCAAUCGAUUGGAACAGGGAAAAACUCAAAACAAGAGCGGAACGGUUGAUGGCGGAUGAGAAGGCCAGUUGGUCAGCAGUGAGCGAAACGUAAUCACAAAAGAUGUACUAAGUAAAUAAGCCUACAGCUCAAGAUAGAUAAAAAACGACGAAUAAAAUGGAAUACCCGAGAGAAUGCCUGGGUUAGCAGAUGCCAACAGCUUCACCAUUUCCCGAUAAAACUACCCUGGUAUCGAUGUAUUUUUAUUAAACAGUGUUUAAAUCUUGUUUGAAAUAAACAAGUAAACUCAAAUCGAUAUUAAAUAAAACAUGUUUCAAAAAAAAA